rnacentral:rRNA from 1 species
CCUACGGGGGGCAGCAGUAGGGAAUCUUCGGCAAUGGACGAAAGUCUGACCGAGCAACGCCGCGUGAGUGAAGAAGGUUCUCGGAUCGUAAAACUCUGUUGGUAGAGAAGAACGUUGCUGCGAGUGGAAAGCUCCUCAAGUGACGGUAACUACCCAGAAAGGUACGGCAAACUACGUGCCAGCAGCCGCGGUAAUACGUAGGUCCCGAGCGUUGUCCGGAUUUAUUGGGCGAAAGGCGAGCGCAGGUGGUUUAUUAAGUCUGGGGUAAAAGGCAGAGGCUCAACCAUUGUAUGCAUUGGAAACUGGUAGACUUGAGUGAAGGAGAGGAGAGUGGAAUUCCAGGUGUAGCGGUGAAAUGCGUAGAUAUAUGGAGGAACACCGGUGGCGAAAGCGGCACACUGGCCUGUAACUGACGCUGAGGCACGAAAGCGUGGGGAGCAAACAGGAUUAGAUACCCGAGUAGUC